AUGGCGAGAGUUGAAGCGGUGGUCGUCUGCCUCCUCAUCGUCGCCAUGGAUGUCGCCGCCGGCGUCCUUGGAAUUCACGCGGAGAAAGCUCAGAGCCAGGGGAGGCACCUGAAGAUACUUUUCAUCGAGUGCAGGCAGCCUGUCCCACAGGCUUACAAGCUCGGCAUCGCGGCGGCCGCGGUGCUGGCUGCGUCGCACGCCAUCGCCAAUAUCGUCGGCGGCUGCUCCUGCACGUGGCCCUGCUGCUCCGGCGGCCGGCGCUCGUCGCCCAACCGGCAGAUGGCGUCCUUCGCCCUGGUCCUCACAUGGAUGGUUCUGCUGGUGGGACUGGCGCUGCUGAUCCUCGGUGCGCUGCCGAACUCCAAGAAGGUAAUGGCGGAGUGCGGGGUGGUGCGGCACCGCUUCCUCUCCAUCGGCGGCAUCCUUUGUUUCGUGCACGCCGUCUUCUGCCUCGUGUACUACGUGUCCGCCAACGCCGCCGCGCGGGAGGAAGGCCGUGGGUCUGGGUCCAAGCCCGCCGGCGUGUAG
rnacentral:rRNA from 1 species